GAUUAUGGCUCAGGAUGAACGCUGGCGGCGUGCUUAACACAUGCAAGUCGAGCGGAAAUAUUUAAAGCUUGCUUUGAAUAUUUAGCGGCGGACGGGUGAGUAACGUGUGGGUAACCUGCCAUAUACUGUGGAAUAACCGUUUGAAAAGAUGACUAAUACCGCAUGUCGUCACCGAGGGGCAUCCCUUGGUGAAAAAAGGAGUAAUCCGGUAUAUGAUGGACCCGCAUCUGAUUAGCUAGUUGGUGAGAUAAUAGCUCACCAAGGCGACGAUCAGUAGCCGACCUGAGAGGGUGAUCGGCCACAUUGGGACUGAGACACGGCCCAAACUCCUACGGGAGGCAGCAGUGGGGAAUAUUGCACAAUGGGCGAAAGCCUGAAUGCAGCAACGCCGCGUGAAGGAAGAAGGGUUUCGGCUCGUAAACUUCUAUCAAUGGGGAAGAAAUAAAUGACGGUACCCAAAUAAGAAGCCCCGGCUAACUACGUGCCAGCAGCAGC
rnacentral:rRNA from 1 species